rnacentral:rRNA from 1 species
GAUGAACGCUGGCGGCGUGCCUAAUACAUGCAAGUCGAGCGAACAGACGAGGAGCUUGCUCCUCUGACGUUAGCGGCGGACGGGUGAGUAACACGUGGAUAACCUACCUAUAAUACUGGUAUAACUUCGGGAAACCGGAGCUAAUACCGGAUAAUAUAUUGAACCGCAUGGUUCAAUAGUGAAAGACGGUUUUGCUGUCACUUAUAGAUGGAUCCGCGCCGCAUUAGCUAGUUGGUAAGGUAACGGCUUAGCAAGGCAACGAUGCGUAGCCGACCUGAGAGGGUGAUCGGCCACACUGGAACUGAGACACGGUCCAGACUCCUACGGGAGGCAGCAGUAGGGAAUCUUCCGCAGUGGGCGAAAGCCUGACGGAGCAACGCCGAGUGAGUGAUGAAGGUCUUGGGAUCGUAAAGCUCUGUUAUUAGGGAAAAACAAAUGUGUACGUAACUAUGCACGUCUUGACGGUACCUAAUCAGAAAGCAACGGCUAACUACGUG